UGGCGGCAUGCCUUACACAUGCAAGUCGAACGGCAGCAUGGAAGAGCUUGCUCUUCUGAUGGCGAGUGGCGAACGGGUGAGUAAAGCAUCGGAACGUACCGUGUAGUGGGGGAUAACGUAGCGAAAGUUACGCUAAUACCGCAUACGCACUGAGGUGGAAAGCAGGGGAUCGCAAGACCUUGCGCUAUACGAGCGGCCGAUGUCAGAUUAGCUAGUUGGUAGGGUAAAGGCCUACCAAGGCGACGAUCUGUAGCGGGUCUGAGAGGAUGAUCCGCCACACUGGGACUGAGACACGGCCCAGACUCCUACGGGAGGCAGCAGUGGGGAAUUUUGGACAAUGGGCGAAAGCCUGAUCCAGCCAUGCCGCGUGAGUGAAGAAGGCCUUCGGGUUGUAAAGCUCUUUCGGCUGGGAAGAAAUCGCACAGGCUAAUACUCUGUGUGGAUGACAGUACCAGCACAAGAAGCACCGGCUAACUACGUG
rnacentral:rRNA from 1 species